rfam:Picea glauca, whole genome shotgun sequence.
AUGUAUAUGCCUUCAACAUAAUGUAAAUGCAUUGGAUCCCAUUACAACUCUACAAUUAAGCGCGCUCAGGCUAGAGUACUACUGGGAUGGAUGACCUCCCGACAAUUCCUAAUGUUUUACAUU